rnacentral:misc_RNA from 1 species
CAAGAUGAAGGCCGUGCAGCCGCAGCUCGCCGCGCUGAAGGACAAGUAUCCCGACGACAAGAUGAAGCAGCAGCAGGAGAUGAUGGAGAUCUACAAGAAGGAGAAGAUCAACCCGAUCGCGGGCUGUCUUCCGAUUCUGAUCCAGAUCCCGGUGUUCUUCUCGCUCUACAAGGUUCUGUUCGUCACCAUCGAAAUGCGGCACGCGCCGUUCUUCGGAUGGAUCAAGGACCUUUCCGCGCCCGAUCCGACCAACCUGUUCAACCUGUUCGGUCUGCUGGCGUUCGAUCCGACACACCUGCCGGUUCUCGGCUAUUACCUGC